UACGAAGGGGGCUAGCGUUGCUCGGAAUCACUGGGCGUAAAGCGCACGUAGGCGGCUUCUUAAGUCAGGGGUGAAAUCCUGGAGCUCAACUCCAGAACUGCCUCUGAUACUGAGGAGCUCGAGUCCGGGAGAGGUGAGUGGAACUCCGAGUGUAGAGGUGAAAUUCGUAGAUAUUCGGAAGAACACCAGUGGCGAAGGCGGCUCACUGGCCCGGUACUGACGCUGAGGUGCGAAAGCGUGGGGAGCAAACAGG
rnacentral:rRNA from 1 species